rfam:Rattus norvegicus chromosome 4, whole genome shotgun sequence.
GGGGAUUUAGCUCAGUGGUAGAGCGCUUGCCUAGCAAGCACAAGGCCCUGGGUUCGGCCCUCAGCUCCG